CUCACCCCACAGCCCCAGUGGGGAGCUGCAGUUCCCCCCUGAGCCCAGCCCUGCCCGUGGGGCACAGCCUGACAGCAGGAUGGACAGCCCAGCACCCCCUGGGGACACCCUGGGCUGCUCUGAGCAGGAAAACCAGGAUCAGGCUCCCUCUGGAGAAAGGUGGGAACGCGCUGGGAGCACAGAGUCCCCCUGUGGGCAGGGAAUGAGCCUGGCCCUGUCCCCUGACUCCAGUUCUGCCUGUCUGACCUCUCCUGAUGGAUCCCUGGAUCCCUGGGCUGCUCCAGAGGAUCAGCCCAUGGACAGCAUCCAGUCACCGGCCCAGAGUGAGCUGGGGAGGAGCAGCUGCUUGUCCCAGCUGGGCGGGGAUGAGGCCGGUCCCCACCUGAAUUCCCUGGACAAUGAGGAGUCAAACCAAGGUGGGAACGAGGUUUUGGGGGAGGAGGAGCAGGGAAGCCCCUGUGCCAAGGGCAUGGAGGAGCUGGAUGAUCCCAUGGGAGCAGGAGAUGACCUGGAGGACUCUCCCUUGGACUACCCAGCCCCAGGAGAUGAAUGCAGAGCCGAGGAGAGGGAGGAGGAUGAGUUCCCCGAGGCAGAGAAUUCCCCUGGGAACGACACCACCAACAUGGAGCUGGAGCCCGAGAUCCCUCUCCCGGAGCCAGAACCCUCCUCCUCCAGCAGGGAGGGAAUCUCAGCCAUCCAGGAGCUCCCCAGGCAGGAGCAGAACUUCCCAAACAUCCCUGGGGAGUCCARCCCCGGCGUUCCCGGGCGGAGGGAGUCGGUGCUGUGCCGCCUCUGGAAGCCGUGCAGGGAAGGGGGAGCUGCCCAGCUCAGCAUCCCUGCCUGGAGCCUGGAUUCCUCCCUCCAGCCCAGCUGCUCCCAGGAGCUGAUCCCAGCUCCCUGCUCCUCCCCCGGGGAUGAGUUGGGGCCAGCAGAGCUGGGGUCUGCUCCUCCAUCCCCGUGUGACCCAUGGGAUGAGGAGGAGGAGCCGCUCCCUGAGGUGUUUCCUCCCAGCCCCGACAGCGCCCGCUGGUCCCGGAGCUGUGACAGCCCCAGGAAUUCCAGAGGGAGCCCUGAGGAGGAGGAGGAGGAUCUGGGAGCAGGCAGAACUCCCAGUCCUGCACCUUUCCCAAGCUGGGAAUGCRCCCUGUGCGAGCCUUGGGAUGAGUGUGAGCACAACCCCGAGGGGUCCCAGCCCUUCCCUGAUCCCGAGUUUGCUGACCCCGAGGUGGGAGAGGGGGAAAUUCCCGAUUCUCCCAUCCCAGCAUCGCCCUGGGACGAGCAUGGAGAUCUCCCCGGAGAACCCCUGGAGUUCAGCGAUGCUGAGGAGAUCCCAGAGCAGCUCCCAAGCCAAGACACCCACGAGGGUUUGGCCUUCGAGGAUCCAUCAGAGGUGGAUUCCUUUGGUGACUCAGAGCAGGAAUAUUUCGAGGGGAAUUCUCACUCCCCUCUUCCCANNNNNNNNNNNNNNNNNNNNNNNNNNNNNN
rnacentral:lncRNA from 1 species